AUUGAACGCUAGCGGGAUGCUUUACACAUGCAAGUCGAACGGCAGCGCGGACUUCGGUCUGGCGGCGAGUGGCGAACGGGUGAGUAAUGUAUCGGAACGUGCCCAGUAGCGGGGGAUAACUACGCGAAAGCGUAGCUAAUACCGCAUACGCCCUACGGGGAAAGCAGGGGAUCGUAAGACCUUGCACUAUUGGAGCGGCCGAUAUCGGAUUAGCUAGUUGGUGAGGUAACGGCUCACCAAGGCGACGAUCCGUAGCUGGUUUGAGAGGACGACCAGCCACACUGGGACUGAGACACGGCCCAGACUCCUACGGGAGGCAGCAGUGGGGAAUUUUGGACAAUGGGGGCAACCCUGAUCCAGUCAUCCCGCGUGUGCGAUGAAGGCCUUCGGGUUGUAAAGCACUUUUGGCAGGAAAGAAACGUCGCGGGCUAAUACCCGUGGAACUGACGGUACCUGCAGAAUAAGCACCGGCUAACUACGUG
rnacentral:rRNA from 1 species